rnacentral:rRNA from 1 species
GACGAACCGUGCGAACGUUAUUCGGAAUCACUGGGCUUAAAGGGCGCGUAGGCGGGCCGGUAAGUCAGGGGUGAAAUCCCACGGCCCAACCGUGGAAGUGCCUCUGAUACUGCCGGCCUCGAGGGGGAUAGGGGCAUGCGGAACUCAGGGUGGAGCGGUGAAAUGCGUAGAUAUCCUGAGGAACACCGGUGGCGAAAGCGGCGCGCUGGAUCCCUUCUGACGCUGAGGCGCGAAAGCCAGGGGAGCAAACGGG